GUCGCAAAGUUCAAGGGGUCCGAAUACUUUCGCAAGGCACUGUAUUUCUACAAGGAUGGUGUUUGCAUGCCUCUGACCAACUAUGCCAUCAACAAGCCCAGUGAGAACUUUGUCCGUGAUGACGACACUGGCAGGAAAAGGAAGCUGUCCACCUUGAACAAGCACCUGGUGGCCAUGUGUUACGACACAUAAGAUGCGGUUGGACAUUGAGGACGUGGUUAUUAAGACGCUUGUUUCUGCCCACCCCUUCCUCAAACACAACUACCACACCUGUUCCCCUAACCACGCUGCUGGCAGUGCCUGCUUUGAGAUCCUGGGCUUUGAUGUGCUGCUAGACCAUCAACAGGCCCUGGGUGCAAGAGUUUCCCCACUGAUUUGCCCGGGAUUAGAAGGAUAGCCUGCUGUAUAACACCCUGGUCCUUAUAAACCUGGCUGCCUGUGACCGCCAUAAGAUCGCUAAGGAGGAUAAGAGCAGGGUGAAGGAGAGGCUGCUGCAGAACUGGUCCAAGCGAGGCCCGGUACAGUCAGAACAACGUGAUGGGUAGGAAGACCAUUUGGAACUUUGUCUUUGUGGAAUUUCAAUGUUCUUGUAUGAUCAGUUUGACCAUGUAACAACAAGUUAUGAUGGGUCAUAUUAUGAAUUAUCAUGGUUAUAGACAUGUAACAAACAAAGUGAUUUGGACCAAACUCAAUCCGGUAUGUUUUUUUUUUAAUGCAUUCAAUUCAUUUAUUCAGUUGUGGUCAGUUGAGGUCAUUUUUGUGUUGUGAGGAGAUGUGUCAGUCCAAGGCAGCCAGUGUGGAGCAAGUUCAGAUGGAUGAGGCCAAACACCCAGGUGGCUUCCGCGGGAUCUAUUCCCGUGAGGGUGGAGAGAAGUACUUCAAACACAGCAGCGCCCUGUUUCAAAAGACUGCCACCUCCAAGACCAGGGAGGAGUGUGCCACAUAGACACAAUCCUCCCAUGUUGAGGCAGGCAAACACACACACACACACACACACACACACACACACACACACACACACAUACAGGCUUAUAGACAAUACCAUGAAAACACUCAAAAUGAAAAUACAAAAUCUUAGUUUAUAUUAACUUUUUUCGUUGUUUCAUGUACAAUUUAUUUCCGUGUGUGACUGUGUGCUUAGGCAGCACCUGCAGGUGCUGUGUCUGAAGCAGGAGCAGAAGGAGAGGGAGCAAAAUUGGAACUGUAGAUGAGACUUCCAGGGGGGAUCUGGAGGAGAUGCCAACCCACACAGAGUACGAGCCCAACAGACCGACAUCACCCUGCCCAUCAGUUUUGUAUGAGGCGGAGAUGGUCAGUGGACUGCUCCAGCGGGACCAAGUCCAUCAGCUACUGCAGGGGGGAGGACACCCCAAUCCUGAUGCCAUUCCCCCCCCCCCCCUACGAGCAGAAUGACCUGCCCCUAUAAAUACAUGAACGAGCCAAUAAGUAAUACACCCCUGAGGAUCCGGUCAUAGAGAUGGUCUGCCAGGCGCCAUGGGGACCUGAGGAGGACCAACAGUACCCAGCGUAUUCCAUGGACAAUGGUGCUCAUCCUAUGCAGAGUCCAGGGCCUGGGCCACAGUGUCAAAUCUCUCCCAGCUCAUGCCUGGAUGGCUCCACUGCACCCCCAUGUCCUCUGGCCCCAAGGCUCUCCAGAGCCUGUUUGUCAUUUCCACCCCAGCCCCACUGAUCCAGCGGCCCGACACCCCCCCACCCCAUCCACAACCCCUCCCGUAAAGCCCCCCAGCACGGACAAAGGCGCUAGGGAGCAGGGAUGUCACUGGUCCUUCCAUAGUGCCAAAAACCACGAGCGGGGGAGAGCGAGCAAGCUUUCUUGGCAAACUUUGCACAAGUUGUUCCCCAAAUACUCUCCAUAUACUGUAUACAUUUCUUCAUAUUUUUUUUACAUCCUCAAAAUGAAAUUCAUUUCUAUGUUAGGUCUGAGCUUCUGGUAAUUGAUUGAAGUGAAAUGGUGAGAAGAGAAAUGGAGUGAGGCCUUAUUGUGAAAAUAUGGAAGCAAUGGUGCAUAUUGUGACUUAGGUAUUGUGUGGUACUUGGUAGAAAGAUGUGUCAUUUAAUGUCUAUGCAAACACUGUGGCCUUUACAGAAUGGAAUUUAAGUGAAUACUAUCUGUGUCUUAUCAAAUACCUUGGGUUGUUAAAUAUCACCAUAACCACUGAGACAAUGGUGAAAAAUCUUCAAAAUAUGAUUUCAGGAAAUCUGGACAUUUUACUCAGUUAUGUGAAAUCUGAAAGGAAGAGAUGGGUGUGACCAGGUAGUCCUAUAGCAAAUGUGUGCGACUUUCCUACUAUGCUUUGUUAUCAUAUUGGUUUGUGUUUAUAAUUCUGCAAUGGUAACCAUAAUCGUUCAUUUGUGCUAAGUUUUAGAAGAAAAAAACGCUGGGGGUACUGAAAUUACCACGAAGAGGGACUAACGAGUACUCCUCAGAUUUCACUGAUUUUAAUUGUAGAUUGACCCAUAGUAUUUUCACAUGGCUAUUUGGGAUGUGAUGUACAUUUGUUUAUUGCGCAUUAUUUGAGUUGGUGAGAAAUAUGUUAUGCAUUCAUCUUUGCUCAUGUUUAUAUGAGGAUAUUUGUUAAAUUCAGUAUGAUAUCGAUAAUAGUACUAGGCUUAUUAACAAUAUACUCCAUAUGAUUAGUCAAACAGUUUAGCAAAUAAUAAGUGGGAAAUCUUAGACGUUUUUAUUGUAACACCCCAGUUUUGCACCAUUUUAAGCUGUCAAAUUAUAAAUCAUUGGAAAUGCAAACGAUAGGCUUUUUCAAUGAAAAGUAAAGCUCCAAAAAAAGUAAAGCUCUUUAACAAGGCUCCCGAGUGGCGCAGCGAUCUAAGGCACUGCAUCUCAGUGCUAGAGGCGUCACUACAGACGCUGGUUCGAUCCCGGGCUGUUUCUCGUGAAUCCAAUAGGGCGGCGCACUAUUGGCUCAGUGUCGUCCGGGUUAAUGGAGGGUUUGGCCGGUAUAGGCCGUUAUUGUAAACACGAAUCUGUUCUUAACGGACUUGCCAAGUUAAAUAAAGGAAAAAUAACAAAAUUAUCGCACUGUUUGAUUUGUUUAAAAUGUAGUUCAUAAACACUGUACUCUAUUGUACUUAAUUGGAAAUUCGAUAUGUCGAUUGGUUUAAUUUGACCUCAGUGAGGAUUUGGAAUGAAGGCUAUUUAGAAGAGAUGAUUUAACGAUAUAUUUAUUGUUCAAUUGGAAUAUAUAGGCCUACGCUGAAUUUCUACUCGCGUGAUAUACAGGAUCUCUCAAGAUCUAGGACUUGUGACUAUUGGAUAGUUGGCAUAACAAAAGUUUAAAUUACAGUUUAGUUAUAGCCUACUUUUAUAUAACGUGCAACACCCUUUAUCGCAACAUUUCACAUCUCAAUAAAAGCACAUUUUAUUGUGCCAUGCCCUAUGGGACUCCCAAUCACAGCCGGAUGUGAUACAGCCUGGAUUCGAACCAGGGACUGUAGUGAUGCCUAUUGCACUGAGAUGCAGGGCCUUAGACCGCUGUACCGCUCUGGAGCCCAAACCAAUGAAGUCACUGAAACCCUUAACAAAGAGUUAGUCAGUUUUGGAAUGGGUGGCCAGUAAUAAACUGCCUGAAUAUCUCUAAAACGAAGUAUUUGGUACAAAUCAUUCCUUAAGUUUUAGACCUCCGCUGAAUCUGGUGUAGCUGUUGAAGAUGUUGAGGAGACUAAAUUACUCGGUGUUACCUUAUAUUGUAAACUGUUCAAAACAUAUCGCUUCAAUGGUUUUAAAUAUGAGGAGAGGUCUGUCCGUGAUAAAGAGAUGUUCUGCUUUUUUGACCCCAAACUCCACAAAGCAAGUCAUGCAGGUUCUAGUUUGAUCUUAUCUUGAUUAUUGUCCAGUCAUAUGGUCAAGUGCUGCAAAGAAGAACCUAGUUAAGCUGCAGCUGGCCCAGGUUAAAGCGGCAAAAGUUGCUCUUUAUUGUAAUGAGAGGGUUAAUAAAUCGACUUUUAUUGGUCACAUA